ensembl:ncRNA lncRNA:CR46353 long non-coding RNA:CR46353
AACCGAAACCGAAUCGAAAUGGGAGACAGCACGUAGAUUAUAACGCUUAUUAACAUAAAACCGCAAAACCGAAUCACGAGAUCAAUUAAAGGCCUCACAGCUAGUCGCCUUAUCGAUAACUAAUGGAUCAUUCUGCCCGACAGUUAUCAAAAUGUUAAUGAUUCCCAAUCGCAACCCAAACGAUCCGUAACGAAUUGUAAUUUUUCGUCAAGCCGGAGGAAAACUCUUUGACAGCGGUCCCAUGUCUUUGGAUCGGUUUGGAUUGGUCUUGCAUGGUGUCACAUGUCAAUUUGUGGAAACUCCAGGACACUGGAAAAAAAUGUGGAGGUUCCUAAGUAAGAUCAAGCACAGAGGAAAAUUCCCUUUGGCUUAGCGUGCCGAAUGAAAUAUAUUUUAAAAUGU